GGGAAUGUAGCUUAAUUGGUAAAGUAAUAAGCUUUUACCUUAUCCUAUCAGAGUUCGAAUCUCUGCGUUCUCA
rnacentral:tRNA from 1 species